rnacentral:rRNA from 1 species
ACAUGGCAUAUGAUUAUGUCAGGUAUUCGAUUGUAAACUACGUACGAGCAUGCAGAGUUCAUAUCAGACGAAGAUAGGGAUCAAGCAUCGAUCGUCGUAGUCAUCUUAACUAGCGACUAGAUGAGUGGAAUAUUGACAUUUCAGUACUUAUGAGAAAUCAAAGUCUUCGGUUCGGGGGAGGUAUGUCGCAAGACUGAAACUUAAGAAUUGACGAAGGGCACCACCAGGAGUGGAGCUGCGGGCGUGAGUUGGACUCAACCCGGGGAAACCUACCAGGUCCAGACAUAGUAAAGAAUAGACAAGAUGAUAGCUCUUUCUGAAUCUAUGGGUGGUGGUGCAUGGCCGUUCUUGGUGGGUGGGGGUGAUUUGUCUGGUUAAUUCCGAUAACGAACGAGACUUAACUGCUAACUAGACUUUCUCAUUUUAUGAAUAAGUCUUCUUAGAGGGACUAUAUGCUUUAAGUAUAUGGAAGUUUGAGGCAAUAACAAGGACUGAGAUACCCUUAUAUGUCCUGGGCUGCACGCGUGCUACACUGAUGUAUACAACAAGUGCCUAGCUAGAUAUAGUAUGGCAAUCUCGAAUAUGCAUCGUGAUGGGGAUAGAUCUUUGCAAUUAUAGAUCUUGAACGAGGAAUUCCUAGUAAGUGCAAGUCAUCAUCUUGCAUUGAUUAUGUCCCUGCCCUUUGUACACACGGGGGCGAGCAAAUACUACCGAUACCGGGUGAUCCGGUGAACCUUUUGGACCUGUAUGGGGAAGAUAAGUAAACCAUAUCACCUAGAGAAGAGAAGUCGUAACAAGGCUCCGAGGGAACC